rnacentral:rRNA from 1 species
GAUGAACGCUAGCGGGAGGCUUAAAACAUGCAAGUCGAGGGGCAUCACGAGGUAGCAAUACUUUGUUGGCGACCGGCGCACGGGUGAGUAACGCGUAUGCAACCUACCCUGUACAGGGGGAUAGCUCGGAAAACUUCGGAUUAAUACCCCAUAAUGAUAUUUUAUGGCAUCAUAAAGUAUUUAACGUCCACGCGGUACGGGAACGGAAUGCGUAACAUUAGCUAGGUGGUAGGGUAAUGGCCUACCAAGGCGACGAUGUUUAGGGGUCCUGAGAGGGUGAUCCCCCACACUGGUACUGAGACACGGACCAGACUCCUACGGGAGGCAGCAGUGAGGAAUAUUGGUCAAUGGGCGCGAGCCUGAACCAGCCAUCCCGCGUGAAGGAAGACUGCCCUAUGGGUUGUAAACUUCUUUUCCAGGGGAAUAAAAUCUCGAACGAGUUCGGGACUGAAGGUACCCUGGGAAUAAGCAUCGGCUAACUCCGUGCCAGCAGCCGCGGUAAAAC